GACGAACGCUGGCGGCGUGCCUAAUACAUGCAAGUAGAACGCUGAAGGCUUAUCUUGCUUCUCCGGAUGAGUUGCGAACGGGUGAGUAACGCGUAGGUUACCUGCCUCGUAGCGGGGGAUAACUAUUGGAAACGAUAGCUAAUACCGCAUACUAGUAGUUGUUGCUUGACAUUUGCUUAAAAGGUGCAAUUGCAUCACUACCAGCUGGACCUGCGUUGUAUUAGCUAGUUGGGGGGGUAACGGCUCACCAAGGCGACGAUACAUAGCCGACCUGAGAGGGUGGUAGGCCGAACUGGGACUGGGACACGGCCCAGAGGACUGCGGGAGGGAGCAGUAGGGGAUCGGCGGCAAUGGACGGAAGUCUGACCGAGCGACGCCGCGUGAGAGAAGGAGGUGUUCGGAGCGUAAAGAUCUGUUGUGAGAGAAGAACGAGUGUGGGAGUGGAAAGUGCGCACUGUGACGGUAUCUUACGAGAAAGCGACGGCUAACUACGUG
rnacentral:rRNA from 1 species